GACGAACGCUGGCGGCGUGCCUAAUACAUGCAAGUCGAACGCUUCUUUCCUCCCGAUGUCUUGCACUCGAUUGGAAAGCGGGGGGGUGGACGGGGGAGUAACACGUCUGUAACUUACCCAUCAGAGGGGGAUAACACUUGGAAACAGGUGCGAAUACCGCGUAACAGUUUAUGCCGCAGGGCAUAAGAGUGAAAGGCGCUGUCGGGUGUCGUUGAUGGAUGGACCGCCGGUGCGUGAGCUAGUCGGUGAGGUAACGGUACACCGAGGCAACGAUGCACAGCCGACCUGAGUGGGUGAUCGGCCACCCUGGAACUUGGCCAGGGCCCAUACUCCUACGGGAGGGAGCAGUAGGGUAUCUUCGGCAAUGGACGAGAGUCUGACCGAGCAACGCCGCGUGAGUGAAAGAGGUGUUCGGAUCGUAAUGCUCUGUUGUUAGAGAAGAACAACGACCUUAGUAACUGAACGGCGCCUGACGGUAACUAGUCAGAAAGCCACGGCUAACUACGUG
rnacentral:rRNA from 1 species